rnacentral:rRNA from 1 species
UACGUAGGUGGCAAGCGUUGUUCGGAAUUAUUGGGCGUAAAGGGCGCGUAGGCGGUCUUGUAAGUCAGCUGUGAAAGCCCGGGGCUCAACCCCGGAGGGUCGGCUGAUACUGCAGGACUGGAGUACGGAAGAGGUAGCUGGAAUUCCCGGUGUAGCGGUGAAAUGCGUAGAGAUCGGAAGGAACACCAGUGGCGAAGGCGGCUACCUGGCCUAAUACUGACACUGAGGCACGAAAGCGUAGGUAGCGAAUGGG